rnacentral:lncRNA from 1 species
GGGACAUACAUAUAUACAAAAAGUGGAAAUAUAUGUCUUAAACAUUAAUCAGGACAUCAGGUUUGUAAUUUUUUUUCAGAUAUGGCGAGCAUAAUAUUAAUAGCAUGCCUUGCUAUAUUGGGACUAAUCAUUGCAAUAGCUUUGUUUCUCGCGGGUGGGUAUUUGUGGUGGAGACACAAAAGAUCGCAGUUGCAGUUUAUUGAGCCCAACGAAGACGAAGAGUCUAGUAGUUACAGUCUAAGGUGAGUCGUAUCACAAAAAUUGUUUUAUUUUAGUUUUUUUAGAGGUGUUCUACAAAUGCCAACUACAUACAUACAUAUGUACGUACAUAUUUAUUUACAUAUGAAGAAUAUUUAGUUCGCUUUUAUUAGCUAUAUUAUUAGUUUUUAUACUCGGUACUCGAAGAGUAAAUAUAUAAAUAUAUAUAUAUAGGUAUAUAUAAAUAUAUACCCUAUAUUGUAAUUGUGGGAAAAAGUGGAUGCAUGUAACGCACAGAAGGAAACGUUUCCGACCAUAUAAAGUAUAAAUACAUAUGUUCUUGAUCAGCAUCAAUAGCCUAGUCGAUUUAGACAUGUCUGUCUGUCCGUCCAAAACCAAGUUUAGCUCAAAGCGCGUGAGAAGAGAUGUAUGUAUGUAGAAAAUCUUCAAAAUUGUGGUUACCUCAGAUUUUCGAACUUUAGGUGGACGGAAGGGGGCGGGGCGAAAUUUUGAAAUAGACUAGUAACAGUGUGAGCCUUCAGACAUCUGGAUGCAAAACUUGGUUGCCUUAUCUCUUAUGGUAUCUGAGUACUAGGCGCUCAUAAGGACGGACAGACAGACGUGGCCAUAGCGACUCGCCUAUUGAUGCUGAUCAAGAAAAUAUAUACUUUAUACACGUAACAUACAUAUGUUAAUCCACUCUGGACCACAAAUACAAUAAACCCUGUUUACUCUUCGAAUACCGGGUAUAAAAGCAGUAAAGUACAGAUAUACUGACUGAGUACCGGGUAUAAAAGUUUUGACGCGUAAGAAGCGUCUCACUCGUUCCUACUCGUUUUUGUUAUAGUUUGCAAAGUAAAUAUUUGUGAUAGACAAAUUUUAUGAUGUUCAAAACCAAUUAAUAGAACCGUUUACUAACAAUACUUUAUUUGUUAUUGCAUGUACAGAGCGGCUCAGGACAUUGAUUCCGGAAAUCCGCCUAGUAAACCACCAGUGCCGGUUGCACCAGCGAUUACAACUCCUCUUCAAAAUAACAUCAAUCGAAAAUUGAAUGGAUUCUUAAGCCUUAGGACUCCUCUAAUUGGGUAUGUCUCUGUUUGUGUGUUCAUUGUUUCCAUCGAUUUCAAAUACCGAAUAGAUUAAACUACUCGACAAAAUCAAUCUUUUAAAAAAUGUACCUGUUGGAGGAUGGCGCUCCCAACUUUCAGAGUAUUUUUGGCUUCAGACUCUAAAAAGAAGUUCUUCCAAGGAAAAAUAGUAUUAUCAAACCAUUUCUAAGCCCCAUAUCUUUCAUAAAACGUUUUUCUGGAUCGAAGCCUCAAAAUCGUGUGGAGUAGUGUUAUUAGCGCUUAUAUAUGUUCAUAUAUCUAUUAUUGUAUUAUUGUAUGUUUUAUUCCUACUACUAUCUUCCCAAUGUAUUUACAAAUUCAUAUUUUUUAGUGGCUCGGCACCUACGCAAACCAAAGCACAAAAUGCUUCUACCGGGGGAAAUACAAAUGAUGGUACCUCAAAAGAUUCGGCGGUAAGCAGAAGUCAGACCCUCUCUCUUAUCAUAGUAAUUGUAGAACAGAAAUAACAGAUCAAAUGUCAAAGAACACCACAGGUGUCUCAGUUAUUUUAUUUAUUAUAUACACACUUCUCUCCAUCUUAGAAUAAAAGUAUUUCCAUGACAGACAUGUACCUGGACAGCACGGAUUCCAGUGAAAAUGUCGGGCAAAUACAUUUCUCUUUGGAAUAUGAUUUUCAAAAUACAACAUUAAUUUUAAAAGUUCUUCAAGGAAAAGAACUGCCAGCUAAAGAUUUAAGUGGGACUUCGGACCCUUAUGUUCGUGUAACCUUGCUUCCAGACAAGAAACACCGAUUGGAAACAAAAAUAAAACGUAGAACAUUAAAUCCGCGAUGGAACGAAACAUUUUAUUUUGAGGGAUUUCCGAUACAAAAACUUCAGUCACGUGUGAGAAUAAUUAAUAUUAUCUUUCUCUACAUGAUCUUUAAAUACUUAUAAUAAUAAAUCGACAUUAACAUAAAAUUGAUACAGGUAUUACACUUACAUGUUUUUGAUUACGACCGGUUCUCACGGGAUGACUCUAUAGGAGAAGUAUUUCUUCCUUUAUGUCAGGUAAACAUUUUAAAUUCAUCUGAACCAAAACUCUGUAUACUUUGUAUUUUAUUUUGUUUAUAAAGCUCUCACAUACCGUUUACAUUUAUGUUACUACUUACAUGUUUCCACAAAACAGUUUUUAAAAUUUCUAUUUCAAAAUUCAAUUAAAAUAUUUAAACCAAAUUGUAACAGGCUAAGCUUUAAAUCAUAAAUAUUCAUGUAUAUGUAUAUAUGUAUGUACAUACAUGUACUUAAACACUUUGUCUUCUUAGGUUGAUUUUGCCGGUAAGCAGUCAUUUUGGAAGGCAUUAAAACCACCAGCAAAGGAUAAAUGUGGGGAACUUCUGUCAUCGCUUUGCUAUCACCCCUCAAACUCUAUUUUGACGUUGACAUUAAUCAAAGCGAGGAACCUAAAAGCUAAGGAUAUAAACGGAAAAUCAGGAAAGAAUUAUUCUCGCGCAAGAUUGAAAAUAAUAUAAAAUAAACUUUGUCUUUUAAUUAAAUUCCUCUUUUGACGUGUUCGGUAACCAAUGUUUUUUUUCAAUUAACUUUAGAUCCCUAUGUUAAAGUUUGGCUACAGUUUGGAGACAAGCGAGUGGAGAAAAGAAAAACACCUAUAUUUACAUGUACAUUAAAUCCAGUGUUUAAUGAAUCAUUCAGUUUCAACGUUCCAUGGGAAAAAAUAAGAGAAUGCUCUUUGGAUGUUAUGGUGAUGGAUUUUGAUAACAUUGGCCGGAAUGAGUUAAUAGGACGAAUCCUAUUAGCCGGUAAGAGCAAUUGUCAAUUAAUUGACAACACAAAAUAUUAAAAUAUUUUUGUUUUUCCACAAAUAUUGUACAUAUGUAUUUAGGAAAGAAUGGUUCUGGGGCGUCGGAAACUAAACAUUGGCAGGACAUGAUCUCAAAGCCCAGACAAACAGUAGUACAAUGGCAUCGCUUAAAACCUGAAUAAAUUUAAGAUUUAACAAUCAAUUUCAGCAUAUGAUAACAACAGUGUAUGUAUUUAUAUAUAUGUAUGUACCACUAUCAUUCCAUAUGCAAAAACACACACAAUUAGCAGUAUUUAAUACAGUCUGCAGAAAACAUAAGUAUAAUCGCAUUGCGCAUUGGUUGGAUAUUUGAAAUUUAAUACCGAGCGGGAUACUACAGAAAAUUUAUCUAACUUCACUAAUUGCUCUAAGGUUUCAAAGCCUCAAAAACCUCUAUGAGCAAUACUCAGUUUUAUAAUUACUUGUCUAACUUUAUAUAUGUAUGUACACGGGUUAUAGUAUUUGUAUUU